CAGCAGCCGCGGUAAUACGUAGGGUCCGAGCGUUGUCCGGAAUUAUUGGGCGUAAAGGGCUCGUAGGCGGUUUGUUGCGUCGGGAGUGAAAACCUACAGCUUAACUGUGGGCUUGCUUUCGAUACGGGCAGACUUGAGGCAUUGAGGGGAGAACGGAAUUCCUGGUGUAGCGGUGAAAUGCGCAGAUAUCAGGAGGAACACCGGUGGCGAAGGCGGUUCUCUGGCAAUGUUCUGACGCUGAGGAGCGAAAGUGUGGGGAGCGAACAGGAUUAGAUACCCGCGUAGUCCCUGUCUCUUAUAC
rnacentral:rRNA from 1 species